rnacentral:rRNA from 1 species
UACGAAGGGGGCUAGCGUUGUUCGGAAUCACUGGGCGUAAAGCGCACGUAGGCGGAUUGUUAAGUCGGGGGUGAAAUCCUGAGGCUCAACCUCAGAACUGCCUCCGAUACUGGCAAUCUCGAGUUCGGAAGAGGUUGGUGGAACAGCUAGUGUAGAGGUGAAAUUCGUAGAUAUUAGCUAGAACACCAGUGGCGAAGGCGGCCAACUGGUCCGAUACUGACGCUGAGGUGCGAAAGCGUGGGGAGCAAACAGG